AACGAACGCUGGCGGCAGGCCUAACACAUGCAAGUCGAGCGAGGACUUCGGUUCUAGCGGCGGACGGGUGAGUAACGCGUGGGAAUGUGCCCUUCUCUACGGAAUAGCCCUGGGAAACUGGGAGUAAUACCGUAUACGCCCUAUUGGGGAAAGAUUCAUCGGAGAAGGAUCAGCCCGCGUUGGAUUAGGUAGUUGGUGGGGUAAUGGCCUACCAAGCAGACGAUCCAUAGCUGGUUUGAGAGGAUGAUCAGCCACACUGGGACUGAGACACGGCCCAGACUCCUACGGGAGGCAGCAGUGGGGAAUCUUAGACAAUGGGGGCAACCCUGAUCUAGCCAGGCCGCGUGAGUGAUGAAGGCCUUAGGGUUGUAAAGCUCUUUCAGCUGGGAAGAUAAUGACGGUACCAGCAGAAGAAGCCCCGGCUAACUCCGUG
rnacentral:rRNA from 1 species